UACGUAGGGUGCGAGCGUUAAUCGGAAUUACUGGGCGUAAAGCGUGCGCAGGCGGUUCGUUAAGUUCGUUGUGAAAGCCCCGGGCUCAACCUGGGAACUGCAAUGGAAACUGGCGGGCUUGAGUGUGGCAGAGGGGGUGGAAUUCCGCGUGUAGCAGUGAAAUGCGUAGAUAUGCGGAGGAACACCGGUGGCGAAGGCGGGUCUCUGGGCCGAUACUGACGCUGAGGAGCGAAAGCGUGGGGAGCGAACAGG
rnacentral:rRNA from 1 species